GUCGAGGCCCACCGUUGCUUACUGCUGGAAGAACAUUGGAGCUGUCAGAGGGGAUCCUUUGCGCCGGUACAUGCGUUACAUGGACGACCUAGACUGCCUCACACAAAAUCAGAUUUUCUGGACACCGUAUAGUCGAGACGAGCUGGAGGAGUUGGGACUUAGUCACAUUUGUAGAAGAGAUGCAGAACUGUGGAGGACGUGUGUUCCUUUGAUUUUCUACUUCGUAGUCGAGCUCCACUUACCGCACCGUGUUAAGAGACAGUUCUCAAGACUGCAAGACUUUCCUCCGGAGGCUAUUUCUACUUCCUAGGCAUUGCAUCGAAUUGACAGGAAGAAACGCUACACUGAGAAUGAUUGGCGUGUCAAACACGCAGUGCCUCUAGCGCAGUGGGACCAGAGGCAAAGGAUGGAUCCGGAACUUGGACCAGCACAUAGGCACAACCAUUACAAGGAAUACCUUCGUUGGUUCCAUUCAGUCACUAGAGUUUCAAUCAAGCCGCCACGGUCAACUGAGCCUAUAGAAGACCAUGCGGACACGGAUGAUGAUGAUGACAUCGUCGACGAGUACGAUGACAUCACACGCGGAGGAGUGCAGCCCGAGAGGGGCCCUUUACAGAACU